rnacentral:lncRNA from 1 species
GGGCGAGGCUAUUGUUCUCCAAGUACUCAUACACCAAUAGAAGUUGAUUUCCUUCAGCACAACAUCCAUAUAGUUUGACAAGAUUUGGGUGCUGUAAACUAGAGAUCAUACCUAUCUCAUUCACAAACUCGCGGUUCCCUUGUUUUGAUUUGGAUGAAAGCUGCUUAACAGCAAUGACUGUACCAUCCAGUAGUGUACCCUGCUUAUUAAUUAAAAACAAAGAAGAAAUAAACAGGUCAUGGCUGUCUAUACAUGCAUAAAAAGCUAAUCCUUUUGCUAUCCCAAUGCAGAUUUUUUGCCUUGUUGGCCAGUCUAUUCGGAGACGAUGUUCUUCUGGACCUACAUUUUAAUGAGAAAUAAGAAUCUAUGCAUACCUUCUCUCAUUUUGAACUCUUUCAUGAAUUACGAACAAGCAAUAUUUCUUCUUAUUCCAUUAAGCUUAUUUUCUGUUUGACUUGUAAGUUGUAACUGAAAACAAUGAGCAAGGAUAGUAAAUUACCAAAUAAAGCACGGGCGAGGCUAUUGUUCUCCAAGUACUCAUACACCAAUAGAAGUUGAUUUCCUUCAGCACAACAUCCAUAUAGUUUGACAAGAUUUGGGUGGUGUAAACUAGAGAUCAUACCUAUCUCAUUUACAAACUCGCGGUUCCCUUGUUUUGAUUUGGAUGAAAGCUGCUUAACAGCAAUGACUGUACCAUCCAGUAGUGUACCCUGCUUAUUAAUUAAAAACAAAGAAGAAAUAAACAGGUCAUGGCUGUCUAUACAUGCAUAACAUCCACUUCUAGAUGUUGUAGCUAAACGAAAAAGGGUCAAGGUAAAUGGUUGUAGUGUGCCCUGCAGUGGAACAAUAAAAGGAACACCAGGAAUUAACAAGGUUCGACAAACUUUUGUUUUCUUUUGCCUACUCCUCGGACACAACCAACCAAUAUUUAUUUCACUCCAAAAGAGUACAAGUGAAAUACUACAAGAGAGAAAGAAGAUCAAAUGCCUUUGAAGAUGAGAAGGCAAGUGAGAUUAGGAACUACCUAUUUAUAGGAGUGAAUUCUUCCUAUUGAUGUCAUCCAUGACAUCACAAUGUGUCAAAAUGUCAAGAUUUACCUUGUGAAACCAUUUUAUGGUUCACCUAAAUUUCACCUACAAAAGAUGUUAUCUUGACUUUUGAACCAAUGAAGAAUUAUCUUCCUAACUACCAAAUCUUCACAUUAAUUCAUCUUUGAAUCUUGUCAAAUUUAACAUUUGUUGCUUUGAUGUCCCUAUGAACAAUUUUUAAUGACGAUUCCUCGUGUAGAAAAGCUAAGCCUUUUGCUAUCCCAAUGCAGAUUUUUUGCCUUGUUGGCCAGUCUAUUUGGAGACGAUGUUCUUCUGGACCUGCAUUUUAAUGAGAACUAAGAAUCUAUGCAUACCUUCUCUCAUUUUGAACUCUUUCAUGAAUUACGAACAAGCAAUAUUUCUUCUUAUUCCAUUAAGCUUAUUUUCUGUUUGACUUGUAAGUUGUAACUGAAAACAAUGAGCAAGGAUAGUAAAUUACCAAAUAAAGCACGGGCGAGGCUAUUGUUCUCCAAGUACUCAUACACCAAUAGAAGUUGAUUUCCUUCAGCACAACAUCCAUAUAGUUUGACAAGAUUUGGGUGGUGUAAACUAGAGAUCAUACCUAUCUCAUUUACAAACUCGCGGUUCCCUUGUUUUGAUUUGGAUGAAAGCUGCUUAACAGCAAUGACUGUACCAUCCAGUAGUGUACCCUGCUUAUUAAUUAAAAACAAAGAAGAAAUAAACAGGUCACGGCUGUCUAUACAUGCAAAACCUCCACUUCUAGAUGUUGUAGCUAAACGAAAAAGGGUCAAGGUAAAUGGUUGUAGUGUGCCCUGCAGUGGAUGGAGGACCUAUAAUAACAUCAAUUGAACCCAUCGUUUUUAUUUGUACUGUAGUAAUAUGUGAAAAAACAUUAAAAUUAUACUCCAUCCGUUUCAAUUUGUUUGUCUUACUUUCCUUUUUGGUCAGUUUCAAAAGAAUAUCUUCCCUUUUUGGCAACUCUUUAAAAUCUUGGAUUUUCCUCUGCUUGCAUGUGUAUGUAAAUGACUGCAUGGGAUGAGGCAUUGGUAUGUGGAGA